UACGUAGGGGGCGAGCGUUGUCCGGAAUCAUUGGGCGUAAAGAGCUCGUAGGCGGUUCAGUAAGUCAGGUGUGAAAGCUCCGAGCUCAACUCGGAGAGGCCACCUGAUACUGCUGUGACUAGAAUCCAGUAGGGGAGUGUGGAACUCCUGGUGUAGCGGUGAAAUGCGCAGAUAUCAGGAAGAACACCAGCGGCGAAGGCGGCACUCUGGGCUGGAAUUGACGCUGAGGAACGAAAGCCAGGGGAGCAAACGGG
rnacentral:rRNA from 1 species